AGAAAAGAAAUCAAGGGAUAGAUCCAGGAUGGCAUGAGGACUGAGGAUGAGACAAGGAAAAAGGAUUUAGCAGUUACAAGACAGGAUGUCUUAAAGUUAAACCAAAUGGACCGGUUACUAGUUUAAUGUUAAAAUUUAGUUGAGCAUGUUGGAAGCAAAUAUUCCUAAAAAUUAGCAUAUAAAAGUAUGUAGAAAACAAGCUAAUCU
rnacentral:misc_RNA from 1 species